AUUGAACGCUGGCGGCAGGCCUAACACAUGCAAGUCGAGCGAGGGGCGGGCGUGUGUGUAAUGUAUGGGGAUCUGCCAGAUAGAUGGGGAUAACUCCUGGAAACGGUGGCUAAUACCGCAUACUAUCGGCUGAACGCAGAGGUGAUUCUCUAGUAGGUGGGGUAAAGGCUCACCUAGGCGACGAUCUCUAGCUGGUCUGAGGGGAUGAUCAGCCACACUUGGACUGAGACACGGCCCAGACUCCUACGGGAGGCAGCAGUGGGGAAUAUUGCACAAUGGGCGCAAGCCUGAUGCAGCCAUGCCGCGUGUAUGAAGAAGGCCUUAGGGUUGUAAAGUACUUUCAGCGGGGAGGCGUUACCCGCAGAAGAAGCACCGGCUAACUCCGUGCCAGCAGCCGCGGUAAUAC
rnacentral:rRNA from 1 species